AAGAAACGUUAAAGAAAACAGGGAGGUUGUUGUUGAAGAGAGAAGUCAAUCAGAUCAAGAAAAACAUAAUGAACAAACUUUAGAGCGUUUGCGAAAUGGCGAAACGCGUGAGAUGAAUGGAAACGAAAGUAGAAAAAACGUCUGUUCAUUUAAUAAAGAGACGAGAAGUUCAUCGUGGACUCAUAAAGACAGCGGUUUUAGAAAGAAACAUUAUGUGUCAAUAAAUGGUGUUCAAGUCCUACCACCAGAACCAGUUUUUAUUCAGUUUGAAAGUAGCGAUGUGGAGAAAGAAAAUUGAAGUUGAAUGAUUUAUUAACAAGCCAUUUUCGACUUAUAAAUGGUUCACUUUAUAUGGUGAAUUUACUAUCUAUGUAAUAACUUUCUUUUUAUUUUUCAUACAUUUGAAGGACAUUUAAAUCCACAAAUUAUUCAUUCUCCCCCCUCCCCCCAUGUAGAACAUAUAGCAUUUGUUUCAAAAAAAUGUACUUCCUACUGUUAUUUUGAAAUUUCUACAUUGUUAAAAUAAUCUUUUUUAUGACGACAUAGCAAACAAGGCGUUAUUGUUGAUGUUUCUUACCUGACGGAAAACGUUAUAGAAACACACUUGUUGAAAUACCUAUUGGAGACUGUGAUUGGAGAUCAGUGGUUUAUUUUGAGACGGUAGUAAAAACGGUGAAGAAGUCAAUAGUGUUGAAUUACCUGAAGACCGAAGAAUUUUUUUUAAACAGUUUAACUAUGAUGUUUGGCGCAUAACAAUAAGUACAAUAAAGAAAAGUUUGCUGUUCACAUGAAGAACAUUGGAGAACUUAGAUAAAUUUUUGCGUGACUACUAGAAGAGAUCUAGCUUUCCGGUUCCAGCAGUCAUGGAGAUCUUGGAAGAAGGGAAUUUUUCUAUGAAUAAUGGCGAUUAUGAUACGGCUAUUGAACAUUACAAUAGUUGUGUAGAAGUUUCAGACGAGAAAAGCAUCAAAUUGAUGGCAUAUUUUGGUCUUGGUAAUGCUUACACACUCUCUGAUAAUGGGGAGGAAGCAACAAACUGCUUUAAUGAUUGUUUGAAUCUUUCUUCUGAACUAGAAAUUAAAUAUUUUAAGCAUGAAAUAUACCUCGGGUUGGGGAGUAUCCAUUCUACCACUAAAAGAUUGGAGGACGGUAUAAAGAAAGAAGAAAUGGUCUGUCUCUGUCAUGUUGCAUUGGGAGGAUUGAAUAAGUUACUUGAAAAUUAUGAAAAAUCCUUGGAGCAUUAUAGGAAAGGAUUCUCUCUGAUUGAAAGUCAAGAGCUAGAAGACGAAAUGCUACGCUUACAGCACGAAGACAGUUAACAAAAACAUAAUCGAAUGCAGCGACAAAAAAAGGUCAGAAAAGGUGGUAUUAACGUUAGUAAAGAUUUUGUCAACUGUAACAUGAAGAACUUGUCAAUUGUUACUUCAGCUGGAAUUGUGAAUGGAGUGUUAGCUGUUUAUUGGGAAUUAGCUGAAUUGUUUGAUAAACUUGAAGAACAGAGGGAUGCAAUAGAUGUUUAUGAAAUAUAUCUUCAUAUCGUCAACAAUGAUAAAGAUAUAGCAAAACAAAAGAACGCUAUGGAACGUCUGAUACGAUUAUAUGAGGAGGAAGGACGUGAUUUGCAAAGGGAUUUGAUGAAAGAGAAGUUACAUGAAGUUAACAUAGUUAUAGGUACAAAAUGCAAAUAAAUUCAACUUGAUUAAGAU